CUGAAGUUACAUUGUAGAUGCUGAAAUCACUGCACCUUAAAAACAAAAAGAUUAAGCCACACUGCAUUCCUGUGCGGAAUUAAAACCCAUGAAGGUUUCUGCAGUGGUUGGCAGUUUUCCUCAACUUUGCAAGAGAGAGAGAUUUGGUUGGAAUGAAACCUUGCUCUGCGUACAGCCUGCCUGAGAUGCAGCACUGAAAGAUCACUCACAGUCAGUUUGUGGCCUUUCUCUGAAGGAACAUUUCCUUGUCUCUUGUGUAAGUAUUUAUAACAUUUUAUACUUUCCAUUGAUGUGAGUUGUGCAUUUGCUUUAAGUUUCAUCAAAGUCAACCAGGGACUUCUGUUACUUCCCAUGGCCACAGGACUCAAAACUGAUUUUUUUAUUCUAAUGCAGUCCAAGAUUUUAAUACAGUGCCACCUUAUGGGACUCAGAUUUUAGUUCAGUGGWAUUGUGUGAUUGAUUGAUUGAUAUGGAAUUCAUAUGUGCAUUUCUGGAUGACAGUAUGGAAGAUUUCUCUUUCUUGGUGGGGAGAUAUGAGUUCUGAUGGACAUUAUGCUCUUGUGCUCUAUAUCAGAAUGAAAUGUGCAAGGGCAAAACAAGUACAGAAAAAGGUCAACUAGCAUUGCAACCUGUCCUUGCUGAASUUUGACCCUGUGGUGUGGGACCCUUCCUUACCCAGUCCUGGCUGCUCUCUGCCCAUCUCUUAUCUGAGYAGAUGAAAUAUGCUGUAUUCUCACUGACAUCCAACAUUGCUCAAGUUCAAAAUCUGUUAGCAGUCUAUUUGGAAGGUGUUACUCAGGGUUCUUUUCUCACCUGGUUGUGUUCAUUUCAAUUUGGCUGCUGCUAUGUAGGUUGUUGAUUCAUUGACCUUUUUAACUGAAGAAAAUACUAUGUUUAUCCAGAUAAUUUGUUUUCAAGACCCAGAACAGGAAGAAUUAAAUUUUUUCCUGGUUUAUGUUUUGGUUUUUUUCCUUUUUGGGGGUAAUAAGGGAUAGAACCUUUUUGAGUGUUUGUUUGUUAUCAUUUGAGUUUUAAUUUUGUCAGGUUCUGACACAUGAUGGUUUUGCGYAUUUGGAACAAAAACUCACAUUUUUCUGGGAUUCCUUCAUACAUACUGGCAGKGAAAUCUAGUGCUUUUGAAACAAUGACUCUUCUUGUUGAAAUAUAAAGAGAAAUAUAGCACUACCACUUCAUAAUAUUUACUAUAGUUAAGUAAAGACAGACCAAGUUUUCCAAAUGUCCACCAGCAUUUUAAGCCACUGUUUUGGGAUGUCCAAGCUGAAGYUAUUUUGUGAAUGCCAAAAAUAAUGAGGGCUUUUAAAUUUAGGUUUAGAACRUCACAUCCAAAUAGACCUGGACUUUGUGCUACUUAAGAUCUCCAUAUUGCAAUUUAAAUUCAUGUUUCCUAUCUGUUCAGAGAGAAAAGUAGAUGGCUGUUAAAGUGCUGCCUGGAAUUA